AUCGGUGGUUCAGUGGUAGAAUGCUCGCCUGCCACGCGGGCGGCCCGGGUUCGAUUCCCGGCCGAUGCAAAGUACUUUUUGCCUUAUUAAUUAUCCUUCGCGAGGGUGCGGCCUGAGAAAACUCUUUGAGGGCCUGCUGCAAAAAUAUGAUGCACAAUGCAAAUUUGUACUAUAAACUUGUAUGAAUCACUGUGUCUGCCGCACAUCGAUCCACUGUAGUAAAUACAACAAAUAAGUCUGGAGCUUUCGAACGGAUCUUAGAAGCCAAUAUCAACCAAAAGUAUUUAAAGCAUCGGUGGUUCAGUGGUAGAAUGCUCGCCUGCCACGCGGGCGGCCCGGGUUCGAUUCCCGGCCGAUGCAGCUUUUUCUUUUUUCUUUAUAAUUUUAUAGUAUGCUAUAAUUUUAACAGUUUUUUUUCAUAUAUCAUAGAAUAUAUUAUUGAUUUAUUAAAUAAACAUUACAAUUGUUACAAUAA